UACGGAGGGUGCAAGCGUUAUCCGGAUUCACUGGGUUUAAAGGGUGUGUAGGCGGGUCAUUAAGUCAGUGGUGAAAUCUCCGAGCUCAACUUGGAAACUGCCAUUGAUACUAUUGAUCUUGAAUUCUGUUGAGGUGGGCGGAAUAUGUCAUGUAGCGGUGAAAUGCAUAGAUAUGACAUAGAACACCAAUUGCGAAGGCAGCUCGCUAAACAGAUAUUGACGCUGAGGCACGAAAGCGUGGGGAU
rnacentral:rRNA from 1 species